rnacentral:piRNA from 1 species
UACUCAAAGUGUUGAUGAGACUAGAUUUUU